UACGUAGGUGGCAAGCGUUGUCCGGAAUUAUUGGGCGUAAAGCGCGCGCAGGCGGUCUGUUAAGUCUGAUGUGAAAUCCCGUGGCUUAACCACGGGCGGUCAUUGGAAACUGGGGGACUUGAGUGCAGAAGAGAAGAGCGGAAUUCCACGUGUAGCGGUGAAAUGCGUAGAGAUGUGGAGGAACACCAGUGGCGAAGGCGGCUCUUUGGUCUGUAACUGACGCUGAGGCGCGAAAGCGUGGGGAGCGAACAGG
rnacentral:rRNA from 1 species